GUAACCAAAAUACAACCCAAAGUUUUGUCUCAAAAAAAAAGCUAUCUACGAAGAAAGUCCUGAGACAAUAGGUCAUUCCAAACUUCAGCUCUGGCGAGCAGCGAAGCGGAAAGUACCCACAAUAUGCACAACUAGGCUUGGAACUGAUCAAGUUUUGCUAGAGUUAGACCUGUGAAAGCCAGAUAAGCUUUAAAUGUGGAUGGACAGAUGGCAAAGUUUUGUGUACCAGCUGAUUUGUGUUACUGUCCUGUUUUCUGACCUCAUUCACUCUACAUCUCAAACCAAGGUUAUGUGGAUCUGAAGAGAAUAUACUGCAAGACAGAUACCUUAUACCUGGGUGUAAGAUGGAGAUACCCAGCACUGGUGAAAAACACUGAAAAUCAGCAAUCUGGUAUGACAGAAAGACGAUGUUUCAGCCCAAGAAGGUCUUUUAAACUAAAUACAGGAGGAAUCUGACUUGAAAACAAUAACAUGCUCUACCUGCCAUAAGAACACUUGACCAAAACUCUUUACUCUUAAAAUGUUUAGAAAAAAAGUUUUUAAUAGAGACAAAGUUAUGUAACACAGGUCAAUGACUAAAGGGUGCAUUCAUACACUGUUAUAUUCAGCUUUUUUUAAAUAAGCACUUAGCAAGAAGCAUUUGGCAUUUAUUGUUUUACAAUUCUCAAUUAUUGUUUGACUAUUAUUAUCUGACAUUCAUCAUUUGGCAUAUAUCAAUUGCAUUAACUAUUUGUCA
rnacentral:lncRNA from 1 species